AUGAACAAGAUACAAGGCAGCAACUUUGCUCUGCUUUGUUUAAGAAUCAAGGUGCUGCCCGACACCAUGUAUAUAUCAAAUGCUUGUAUGAUAGCCAAGGAGACAACUAGUAGCCUGAGAAAAAGGACCAAAGGUUUAUACUUCAUUGAUGAACAAAAACCUUACAAUGACAAGUACAAGCCUAAUGAUGAAGCAUCUCACUCCAUGAUUCACAAGAAUUUCAAUUGA